rnacentral:rRNA from 1 species
UACGUAGGGAGCAAGCGUUGUCCGGAAUCAUUGGGCGUAAAGCGCGCGUAGGCGGCCCUGUAAGUCCGCUGUGAAAGUCAAAGGCUCAACCUUUGAAAGCCGGUGGAUACUGCAGGGCUAGAGUCCGGAAGAGGCGAGUGGAAUUCCUGGUGUAGCGGUGGAAUGCGCAGAUAUCAGGAGGAACACCAAUAGCGAAGGCAGCUCGCUGGGACGGU